UACGGGGGGAGCAAGCGUUGUUCGGAUUUACUGGGCGUAAAGGGCGCGUAGGCGGUCAGCACAAGUCAGUUGUGAAAUCUCCGGGCUUAACUCGGAAAGGUCAACUGAUACUGUGCGACUAGAGUGCAGAAGGGGCAACUGGAAUUCUCGGUGUAGCAGUGAAAUGCGUAGAUAUCGAGAGGAACACCAGUGGCGAAGGCGAGUCUCUAGACAACUCCUGACACUGAGGCACGAAAGCUAGGGGAGCAAACAGG
rnacentral:rRNA from 1 species